UACGAAGGGGGCUAGCGUUGCUCGGAAUCACUGGGCGUAAAGGGCGCGUAGGCGGCCACCGCAAGUCAGUUGUGAAAGCUCUGGGCUUAACCCAGAAAGGUCAACUGAUACUGCGGGGCUAGAGUGCAGAAGGGGCAACUGGAAUUCUCGGUGUAGCGGUGAAAUGCGUAGAUAUCGAGAGGAACACCUGCGGCGAAGGCGGGUUGCUGGGCUGACACUGACGCUGAAGUGCGAAAGCUAGGGGAGCGAACGGG
rnacentral:rRNA from 1 species